rnacentral:lncRNA from 1 species
UAAAUAUACACAGUUCAGGCACUGACAAAUGGUUUUGUGUACCAAAAAUUAGAGUAUAUAUAUCAAGCGAUGCGUAGUCACUAAAUUUCCGUUGCAGUGAGACAAUUUAAAAGAUUUAACGAAAAUAUUUACUUGCGAAGAACGAAAGUUUUUACACAAGAGAGAUGUAUAAAAACGAAGUUUUGUCGCUCCCAGCAUAAUAUUCGUAUCUUUUGGCGGACUAUUCAAAGUUGAUUAUAUGUCUCCCGUCUAAUUUCAAAUUAAAAGAACACCAAACCAAACCAAAGACAAAAUGGAAUCGAUUUUCCAUCAGAGCCAGCAGAAUUUACAAACUCAUGGACGACUGAUCAAAGAGAUGCAGAAGAUAUAC